CAGCCGCGGUAAUUCCAGCUCCAAUAGCGUAUAUUAAAGUUGUUGCAGUUAAAAAGCUCGUAGUUGAAUUUCGGGAUUGACACAUCGGUCGUGCCUUAAGGGGCAUGAACUGGUGUAGUCAGUUUCUCACCUUCUGGAGAACCGCGAUGUCCUUAAUUGGGUGCCGCGAGGAACCAGGACCUUUACUUUGAAAAAAUUAGAGUGUUUAAAGCAGGCAUUUUGCUUGAAUACAUUAGCAUGGAAUAAUAAAAUAGGACGGAUGGUUCUAUUUUGUUGGUUUCUAGGAUCACCGUAAUGAUUAAUAGGGAUAGUUGGGGGCAUUAGUAUUCAAUUGUCAGAGGUGAAAUUCUUGGAUUUAUUGAAGACUAACUACUGCGAAAGCAUUUUGCCAAGGAUGUUUUCAUUAAUCAAGAACGAAAGUUAGGGAUCGAAGACGAUCAGAUACCGUCGUAGUCUUAACCUUAACCAUAAACUAUGCCGACUAGGGGAUCGGAUGAUGUUAAUUUUUAUAAUGACUCAUUUGGCACCUUACGGGAAAC
rnacentral:rRNA from 1 species